rnacentral:rRNA from 1 species
AGAGUUUGAUCCUGGCUCAGGACGAACGCUGGCGGCGCGCCUAACACAUGCAAGUCGAACGAGCGAGAGAGAGCUUGCUUUCUCGAGCGAGUGGCGAACGGGUGAGUAACGCGUGAGGAACCUGCCUCAAAGAGGGGGACAACAGUUGGAAACGACUGCUAAUACCGCAUAAGCCCACGACCCGGCAUCGGGUAGAGGGAAAAGGAGCAAUCCGCUUUGAGAUGGCCUCGCGUCCGAUUAGCUAGUUGGUGAGGUAACGGCCCACCAAGGCAACGAUCGGUAGCCGGACUGAGAGGUUGAACGGCCACAUUGGGACUGAGACACGGCCCAGACUCCUACGGGAGGCAGCAGUGGGGAAUAUUGCACAAUGGGGGAAACCCUGAUGCAGCGACGCCGCGUGGAGGAAGAAGGUCUUCGGAUUGUAAACUCCUGUUGUUGAGGAAGAUAAUGACGGUACUCAACAAGGAAGUGACGGCUAACUACGUGCCAGCAGCCGCGGUAAAACGUAGGUCACAAGCGUUGUCCGGAAUUACUGGGUGUAAAGGGAGCGCAGGCGGGAAGACAAGUUGGAAGUGAAAUCCAUGGGCUCAACCCAUGAACUGCUUUCAAAACUGUUUUUCUUGAGUAGUGCAGAGGUAGGCGGAAUUCCCGGUGUAGCGGUGGAAUGCGUAGAUAUCGGGAGGAACACCAGUGGCGAAGGCGGCCUACUGGGCACCAACUGACGCUGAGGCUCGAAAGUGUGGGUAGCAAACAGGAUUAGAUACCCUGGUAGUCCACACCGUAAACGAUGAUUACUAGGUGUUGGAGGAUUGACCCCUUCAGUGCCGCAGUUAACACAAUAAGUAAUCCACCUGGGGAGUACGACCGCAAGGUUGAAACUCAAAGGAAUUGACGGGGGCCCGCACAAGCAGUGGAGUAUGUGGUUUAAUUCGACGCAACGCGAAGAACCUUACCAAGUCUUGACAUCCUGCGACGGUGCUGGAAACAGUACUUUCCUUCGGGACGCAGAGACAGGUGGUGCAUGGUUGUCGUCAGCUCGUGUCGUGAGAUGUUGGGUUAAGUCCCGCAACGAGCGCAACCCUU